rnacentral:snRNA from 1 species
AGCUUCCUUUUCACCAAGCA